AUAGCGUAUAUUAAAGUUGUUGCGGUUAAAAAGCUCGUAGUUGAAUCUGUGUCCCACGCUGUCGGUUCACCGCUCGCGGUGUUCAACUGGCAUGAUUGUGGUACGUCCUACCGGUGGGCUUAGCUCCCUACAAGGGGCGGCCCAACUUAUAUCCCAUCGCGGUGCUCUUCGCCGAGUGUCGAGGUGGGCCGGUACGUUUACUUUGAACAAAUUAGAGUGCUUAAAGCAGGCCGUUUUCGCCUGAAUACUGUGUGCAUGGAAUAAUGGAAUAGGACCUCGGUUCUAUUUUGUUGGCUUUCGGAACCCCGAGGUAAUGAUUAAUAGGAACAGAUGGGGGCAUUCGUAUUGCGACGUUAGAGGUGAAAUUCUUGGAUCGUCGCAAGACGGACAGAAGCGAACGCAUUUGCCAAAAAUGUUUUCAUUAAUCAAGAACGAAAGUUAGAGGUUCGAAGGCGAUCAGAUACCGCCCUAGUUCUAACCAUAAACGAUGCCAGCUAGCGAUCCGCCGAAGUUCCUCCGAUGACUCGGCGGGCAGCUUCCGGGAAACCAAAGCUUUUGGGUUCCGGGGGAAGUAUGGUUGCAAAGCUGAAACUUAAAGGAAUUGACGGAAGGGCACCACCAGGAGUGGAGCCUGCGGCUUAAUUUGACUCAACACGGGAAACCUCACCAGGCCCGGACACCGGAAGGAUUGACAGAUUGAGAGCUCUUUCUUGAUUCGGUGGGUGGUGGUGCAUGGCCGUUCUUAGUUGGUGGAGCGAUUUGUCUGGUUAAUUCCGAUAACGAACGAGACUCUAGCCUGCUAAAUAGGCGUACUUACCGGUAUCUCGAAGGCCCCUGGCCUUCCGGCCGCGGGGUUUUUACUACCGGCGUACAAAUAAAUCUUCUUAGAGGGAC
rnacentral:rRNA from 1 species